CGCCUACUGAACAUAUAGUAGGUCUAUCCUGCCCAGUGAAACUCAUUCAACGGCCGCGGUAUCCUGACCGUGCAAAGGUAGCAUAAUCAUUUGCCUUUUAAUUGAAGGCUAGUAUGAACGGACACACAAGAAUAUCCCUGUCUCAUUUGGAUUAUAUUUAAACUGAUCUUCAGGUGAAGAAGCCUGAAUAUAAAUAAAGGACAAGAAGACCCUAUAGAGCUUUAUUAACAAUAGCUAUUAAACUAUAUUGUUAAUUUGGUUGGGACAACCAAAAGACACAUAAACCUCUUUUAAUCAACUUUAUUACCCACACCCACCUAUGAAAUAGAAUUUCAAGCUACCUUAGGGAUAACAGGCUAAUCCUAUUAGAGAGACCACAUUGACAAUGGGGAUUGGCACCUCGAUGUUGGCUUAGUGUUACCGUUAGGCGCAGCCGCUUAACUGAGUUGGUUUGUUCAACCAUUAAAACGCUACGUGA
rnacentral:rRNA from 1 species